rnacentral:piRNA from 1 species
UCUUUUGUGUCUUGUGUGUGUCCCAGU